rnacentral:rRNA from 1 species
CCUACGGGAGGCAGCAGUGGGGAAUAUUGGACAAUGGGCGCAAGCCUGACCCAGCAACGCCGCGUGAGGGAAGAAGGCUUUCGGGUUGUAAACUUCUUUUAGCAGGGACGAAGAAAGUGACGGUACCUUAGGAAUAAGCCACUGCUAACUACGGGCCAGCAGCGGCGAUAAUACGUAGGGGGCAAGCGUUAGCCGGAUUUAGUGGGUGUAAAGGGCGUGUAGGCGGGGGAGCAAGUCGGAUGUGAAAACUCAGGGCUCAACCCUGAGCCUGCAUUUGAAACUGUGUUUCUGGAGUGCUGGAGAGGCAAUCGGAAUUCCGUGUGUAGCGGUGAAAUGCGUAGAUAUAAGGAGGAACACCAGUGGCGAAGGCGGAUUGCUGGACAGUAACUGACGCUGAGGCGCGAAAGCGUGGGGAGCAAACAGGAUUAGAUACCCGGGUAGUC